CCUACGGGUGGCAGCAGUAGGGAAUCUUUCUCAAUGGGGGAAACCCUGAAGCAGCAACGCCGCGUGGAGGAUGAAGGUUUUAGGAUUGUAAACUCCUUUUGUGAGGGAAGAUAAUGACGGUAUCUCACGAAUAAGCACCGGCUAACUCCGUGUCAGCAGCCGCGGUAAUACGGAGGGUGAAAGCGUUACGCGGAAUCACGGGGCGUAAAGAGUGCGCAGGCGGGCUUGUAAGUCAGAUGUGAAAUCCUGUAGCUUAACUACAGAACUGCAUUUGAAACUCUGAGUCUAGAGGGCGGGAGAGGUAGGUGGAAUUCUGGGUGUAGGAGUAAAAUCCGUAGAUAUCGAGAGGAAUACUCGUGGCGAAGGCGACCUACUGGAACAUUACUGACGCUCAUGCACGAAGGCGUGGGGAGCAAACGGGAUUAGAUACCCCAGUAGUC
rnacentral:rRNA from 1 species